rnacentral:rRNA from 1 species
CUACGGGUGGCUCCAGUGAGGAAUAUUGCACAAUGGGGGGAACCCUGAUGCAGCAACGCCGCGUGGAGGAUGACGCAUUUCGGUGUGUAAACUCCUUUUAUAUGUCAAGAAAAUGACGGUAGCAUAUGAAUAAGCACCGGCUAACUCCGUGCCAGCAGCCGCGGUAAUACGGAGGGUGCAAGCGUUACUCGGAAUCACUGGGCGUAAAGGACGCGUAGGCGGGUUGGAAAGUCAGGUGUGAAAUCCUACAGCUUAACUGGAGAACUGCACUUGAAACUUCUAAUCUAGAGCAUGGAGGGGGAGAUGGAAUUAGUGGUGUAGGGGUAAAAUCCGUAGAUAUCACUAGGAAUACCUAAAGCGAAGGCGAUCUCCUGGAACAUUACUGACGCUAAGGCGUGAAAGCGUGGGGAGCAAACAGGAUUAGAUACCCGAGUAGUC